rnacentral:rRNA from 1 species
AAGCAACUAUACUGUGAAACUGCGAAUGGCUCAUUAAAUCAGUUAUCGUUUAUUUGAUAGUACCUUACUACUUGGAUAACCGUGGUAAUUCUAGAGCUAAUACAUGCUAAAAACCUCGACUUCGGAAGGGGUGUAUUUAUUAGAUAAAAAACCAAUGCCCUUCGGGGCUCACUGGUGAUUCAUAAUAACUUAACGAAUCGCAUGGCCUUGUGCCGGCGAUGGUUCAUUCAAAUUUCUGCCCUAUCACCUUUCGAUUGUUGGAUAGUGGCCAACAAUGGGUUCAACGGGUAACGGGGAAUUAGAAACUUAGUUCUCAAGUGGGGUUGCUUCGGCGGCUUCAAGUCUCCCCCGCCCCCUAGUUUGCACUGGGGCGGGGAAAGGCGACACACCUGGUUGCGGGGACCUCCUGUUAGGUCUGCAGUACCGGUGCCAGGGUAACACCCGGGCAUAUGGUUAUAAGCUGCAGAAUAGGGACAAUCCGCAGCGACCUGGCUGCCCUUAGGGGGUGCUCGGCGUCUCAACGCUCGCUAAGGUGUGGGCUCUGUAUAGAGCUUAAGGUACGGGCUAGUCCCACCGGAAACGGUGCCAGUGGUUACCAACCGUGCAAGGUUGCCAGCCGCUGGGGGCAUUACGCCUGGUAUUCACGUAGGGUUCUAUUCCGGAGAGGGAGCCUGAGAAACGGCUACCACAUCCAAGGAAGGCAGCAGGCGCGCAAAUUACCCAAUCCCGACACGGGGAGGUAGUGACAAUAAAUACUGAUACAGGGCUCUUUUGGGUCUUGUAAUUGGAAUGAGUACAAUUUAAAUCCCUUAACGAGGAACAAUUGGAGGGCAAGUCUGGUGGACAUUGGCGUCCUGAGGUGUUAAAACCUCUUAUUGCUGACGCCAGAAAGAGAAGAACUUCGGUUCUACUAGUCGACUAUACUACAAGCUUUGGGUGUAUAGCGGCAAGACAACCUGGAUCGGGGGAGGCUAAGGGCGCAAGCCUAUGCUAACCCCGAGCCGAGCUACUGGAGGGCAACCCCCAGAUAGCCGGUGUAGAGCGCGGAAAGGUGUCGGUCAUCCUAUCUGAUAGGUGGCUUGAGGGACGUGCCGUCUCACCCGAAAGGGUGUUUCUAAGGAGGAGCUCCCAAAGGGCAAAUCUUAGAAAAGGGUGUAUACCCUAUAAUCUAACGGCCAGCAGCCGCGGUAAUUCCAGCUCCAAUAGCGUAUAUUAAAGUUGUUGCAGUUAAAAAGCUCGUAGUUGAACCUUGGGCCUGGCUGGCCGGUCCGCCUCACCGCGUGCACUGGUCCGGCCGGGUCUUUCCUUCUGGGGAGCCGCAUGCCCUUCACUGGGUGUGUCGGGGAACCAGGACUUUUACUUUGAAAAAAUUAGAGUGUUCAAAGCAGGCCUAUGCUCGAAUACAUUAGCAUGGAAUAAUAGAAUAGGACGUGUGGUUCUAUUUUGUUGGUUUCUAGGACCGCCGUAAUGAUUAAUAGGGAUAGUCGGGGGCGUCAGUAUUGCGUUGUCAGAGGUGAAAUUCUUGGAUUUACGCAAGACUAACUACUGCGAAAGCAUUCGCCAAGGAUGUUUUCAUUAAUCAGUGAACGAAAGUUAGGGGAUCGAAGACGAUCAGAUACCGUCGUAGUCUUAACCAUAAACUAUGCCGACUAGGGAUCGGGCGAUGUUAUCUUUUUGACUCGCUCGGCACCUCACGAGAAAUCAAAGUCUUUGGGUUCUGGGGGGAGUAUGGUCGCAAGGCUGAAACUUAAAGAAAUUGACGGAAAGGCACCACCAGGCGUGGAGCCUGCGGCUUAAUUUGACUCAACACGGGGAAACUCACCAGGUUAACUACAGUUACGUCUGGGCCUGGAAUAGUUAUUUGACAACUAGUACACGCCUUUACUUGUGUGGGAGAAGUCUCCCAAUUUUGGACACAAGGCCCUUUCAGGAGGGUUUGGCGGUGCGACACUACCUGGUACAGGGGACGCCUCGCUGGAGUGAUCCGGCAGGCCGACUCUGUGGCGAGCUCGAGUAACGUCGAGCCGUCGCAACGCGCGGAAAGGAGUGGGUUCGCUGGAUCUCAGCGGGCUUAAGGUACGUGCUAAUCCCAUGGGAAACCAUGCUCAGUGACGGAGGUCCAAAAGCCUAAGUCACCGGGGUUCCAGAGAUGGAACGGUAUGGUGGGAUCAUUUCGGUGAUCUCAAGAUGCCAGACAUAAUAAGGAUUGACAGAUUGAGAGCUCUUUCUUGAUUUUAUGGGUGGUGGUGCAUGGCCGUUCUUAGUUGGUGGAGUGAUUUGUCUGCUUAAUUGCGAUAACGAACGAGACCUUAACCUGCUAAAUAGCCAGGCUAGCUUAGGCUGGUCGCCGGCUUCUUAGAGGGACUAUCGGCUCAAGCCGAUGGAAGUUUGAGGCAAUAACAGGUUAACCUUCACAGGCCUGUAAAAGUGGUCGUCCGCUAGUCCAACGUCUUAAUCUCUGUGAAGAAGUCUUCUUCUGCCGGGCAGAGAGGUGUCCUCGCGACGCCAUACGUGGGCAACACUACCUGGAACAGGAAACGCCGGAGUAAGUCUGCUCAGCAGCAUUGGCCGAUCCUGUGGCGAGUCAAGGUAACGCUUGACCGUCGCAACGCGCGCUAAGGAGUGGGUAUCGAACCCCGAGAGGGUCGAUAUUUGAGGUACGUGCUAUCCGCUGGGUAACCAGUCUUAUGCGUCAAGGCCCGGCAGGCCGAAACGUGUAGGGGCACCACCCUUUUGGGGGUGGUGCUGGCGUCGAAUUGCUGUGAUGCCCUUAGAUGUUCUGGGCCGCACGCGCGCUACACUGACAGAGCCAACGAGUUCAUCACCUUGCCCGAAAGGGUUGGGUAAUCUUGUUAAACUCUGUCGUGCUGGGGAUAGAGCAUUGCAAUUAUUGCUCUUCAACGAGGAAUGCCUAGUAAGCGCAAGUCAUCGAGCUUGCGUUGAUUACGCCC